rnacentral:rRNA from 1 species
UACGUAGGGUCCGAGCGUUGUCCGGAAUUAUUGGGCGUAAAGGGCUCGUAGGCGGUUCGUCACGUCGGGAGUGAAAACUCGGAGCUUAACUCCGAGCCUGCUUCCGAUACGGGCAGACUAGAGGUAGGCAGGGGAGAGCGGAACUCCUGGUGUAGCGGUGGAAUGCGCAGAUAUCAGGAAGAACACCGGUGGCGAAGGCAGGUCUCUGGGCAUUAACUGACGCUGAGGAGCGAAAGCAUGGGGAGCGAACAGG